CCAUUUUUCUUUUUUUCUACUUUUUUUUAUUUUAGCAAAAUUUACGAUUUAACGUGAAAGUAGAACAAAACAAAAAGCCUUAUAGAGAGACAGGCUGGCUGCCUAGGUGGGCCAUGUACUACUUAAAAGAAUGGCAAGCUUGGAACUUUGAAAACACGAGACUGAAAAUCCCGCUAACCAGGCAGCAUAUAUACCAGCCAACACUUAGCGCCAAUGCCGAGCCAUAGCUGUGCCCCACAAACCCUUUCGUGCCCCUCCAGAUAAGGAUGAUGAGUAACUAUUUAAGAAAUUACGAGCUGGUUCCCGAAAAGCGGGCGGGAAUUUUAUUUGCAACAAUUUGAGGCAAGCAGAAAUGCAUGCGGGUGCGUUAAAAGUUGCCAAACGUCGAUUUGUGCUGGCUCCGAAAACUUUUACAACGCGACAGACUGUGUAAAUAUACAAUAGCGCACAUCAAGAUGGAUAGACGGAUCUCUGAUACUGUGCUGAAGCUGAAUAGACUACGAAGUCACUGAGAGCAUAAAGUUUUCGGAGCCCCGAACUCUUUACCAACAGUUUUAAUUUUCGCGCUCUUCUUGAAUGAACAUUUUCAACAAUUGAAAUGACUUAUGCGACUGCUUUUUCGUAUUAAUGAUGUGGCCUGAGCGUGGGUUCAAAGGCAAUCUAAGAGUUUUACCCAUGCUAAUGACAGGAAAUAUAACAAAUAUUCUAUGGAGAGUCGAAAACUUAAAACGUUUUA